GAGGGAAUAGCUCAGUGGUCGAGUGUGUGCUUAGCAUGCACAAGGCCCUGGGUUCAAUCCCCAGUACCUCCA
rnacentral:tRNA from 1 species